UGCGCAGGCGGUGAUGUAAGACAGAUGUGAAAUCCCCGGGCUCAACCUGGGAACUGCAUUAGUGACUGCAUCGCUGGAGUGCGGCAGAGGGGGAUGGAAUUCCGCGUGUAGCAGUGAAAUGCGUAGAUAUGCGGAGGAACACCGAUGGCGAAGGCAAUCCCCUGGGCCUGCACUGACGCUCAUGCACGAAAGCGUGGGGAGCAAACAG
rnacentral:rRNA from 1 species